rnacentral:rRNA from 1 species
UACGUAGGGACCGAGCGUUGUCCGGAUUCAUUGGGCGUAAAGAGCUCGUAGGCGGCCUAUUGCGUCUGCUGUGAAAGCCCGGGGCUUAACCCCGGGUCUGCAGCCGAUACGGGCAGGCUAGAGUUCGGUAGGGGAGACUGGAAUUCCUGGUGUAGCGGUGGAAUGCGCAGAUAUCAGGAGGAACACCGGUGGCGAAGGCGGGGUCCUGGGCCAGUACUGACGCUGAGGAGCGAAAGCGUGGGGAGCAAACAGG